GAAGAAAAGAUUUUUAUGGGUAUAAGUGAAAUUCUUGAUAGAAGGUUAAGGACACAAGAAGAAGAAUUGUGCAGAAAUUGGAAAAAAUUGACAAAUUAUUUCAAUAGAAAUUAGAAGCGUUGAAGGAAUUAAUUCAAGAGGUAAAGGAGCAGAUAACUAAUGCAGAUCAAACCCUUGGAACUUUUGAAAAGCCAAGUAUGGAACAGGAUAACUCAGGAGAAUA
rnacentral:misc_RNA from 1 species